rnacentral:rRNA from 1 species
GACUAGCCGGUGACAAACCGGAGGAAGGUGGGGAUGACGUCAAGUCAUCAUGGCCCUUACGGCCUGGGCUACACACGUGCUACAAUGGUCGGUACAAAGGGUUGCCAAGCCGCGAGGUGGAGCUAAUCCCAUAAAACCGAUCGUAGUCCGGAUCGCAGUCUGCAACUCGACUGCGUGAAGUCGGAAUCGCUAGUAAUCGUGAAUCAGAAUGUCACGGUGAAUACGUUCCCGGGCCUU